UACGUAGGGGGCAAGCGUUGUCCGGAUUCAUUGGGCGUAAAGAGCGUGUAGGCGGCCAGAUAGGUCAGCUGUGAAAACUCGAGGCUCAACCUCGAGACGUCGGUUGAAACCAUCUGGCUAGAGUCCGGAAGAGGCGAGUGGAACUCCUGGUGUAGCGGUGGAAUGCGCAGAUAUCAGGAAGAACACCGACGGCGAAGGCAGCUCGCUGGGACGGUACUGACGCUGAGGCGCGAAAGCGUGGGGAGCGAACAGG
rnacentral:rRNA from 1 species